CGGGGUGUGGCUCAGCUUGGUAGAGCGUUCGGUUCGGGACCGAAAGGCCGGAGGUUCAAAUCCUCUCACCCCGACCA
rnacentral:tRNA from 2 species